GAGCAUCUGGCUUCGCAGGCCUUGAUCGAGGCAUCGGAGCUUCGUGCUGAGAAGCUUGAGUGGGAGGACGCCAGGACAGAGCUUGAGGAGAGGCUGGAAGUGGCGGAAGCACAGGCCGAUUCCCUGAAUAGAGAACACGAAGAAACUGUUAGAGAGGUUCUAAGCACGUCGAGGAAACGAGAAAUGGAAGUUACCUCCGAGCUCGAGAAAUCGGCUGCAAGGAUUGCUCAGCUCGAGGCUAGUGCUCGGACUCUAGCAGCGGAGAAAGCAGCUCUCGAAAGUCAAAUCCAGAAGUUGGAGCGAGAAAACUCGGAG
rnacentral:lncRNA from 1 species